rnacentral:pre_miRNA from 1 species
CUUCUGUGUGAUAUGUUUGAUAUUGGGUUGUUUAAUCAGGAACCAACUAAAUGUCAAACAUAUUCUUACAGCAG